rnacentral:rRNA from 1 species
AUUGAACGCUGGCGGCAUGCCUUACACAUGCAAGUCGAACGGUAACAGGUUAAGCUGACGAGUGGCGAACGGGUGAGUAAUAUAUCGGAACGUGCCCAGUAAUGGGGGAUAGCCCGGCGAAAGCCGGAUUAAUACCGCAUACGACCUACGGGUGAAAGCAGGGGAUCGCAAGACCUUGCGUUAUUGGAGCGGCCGAUAUCAGAUUAGCUUGUUGGUGGGGUAAAAGCCCACCAAGGCGACGAUCUGUAGCUGGUCUGAGAGGACGACCAGCCACACUGGGACUGAGACACGGCCCAGACUCCUACGGGAGGCAGCAGUGGGGAAUUUUGGACAAUGGACGAAAGUCUGAUCCAGCCAUGCCGCGUGCGGGAAGAAGGCCUGG